rnacentral:lncRNA from 1 species
CCGAUAUAAGAUAUGGAGAUCAACUUUCUAUGAGACUUGUGAUUCUGAAGAGUCAACUUGGUGAAAAAUCCCACUCCUGGCCAUUACAGCACCACCAGGGGUUCCACUAGUGCCAUACAAGAUUGCAUCACUGUGAAUAGCUUGAACACAUGAGGGCCUGGGCUCACAAAAGCAGUUGGUUUCAUACAGUUGGCAUCGCAAUGAUAUUAUUCUGCAUCCUCCAGAUAAAGACCUG